UUACCUUUAAGGUAUACCAAUAAAUGUUGUGAUAUCAAAUAUACCUCUUGAGUUUUCAUCCAUUGCAUUACUUUAUGAUGAUACCAUCUCUUCUAUUUUUCCGUAUAGAAAUUCUCCAAUGAAAUUACAACGGCUGAAUCGGCGCCAGAUAGACCACAACAAUGAAAACCCGCCUGAACUUGAACAGAAAAUACAGCGGCUUGUCUUCUGGCUUCUUUC
rnacentral:lncRNA from 1 species